GAGACGGUUCCAUGUUGGAUGGUGACGUUUGUUCCCCCGGGGUGGACUGCGCUUCCGGCCAGCUGGUUCCGCGCGGCCAGCGAGUGGGCUUCUGGGGGCCCUGUGGAGUCGGCUAAGCCGACCCCGCCCCUCCCCGCGCCGCAGAGGCGGCGGGGUGGGGAGAACCGCCCUCCCUUUGUGCCUUCCUGGUGCUCAGGGGAUGCGGGGAGCCUCUGGCUCGGCCUCCGCCUCUGCUUGAGUCUGAUUCGGUGACAACACUCUGUCCAAAUUGCGGCGUUUCCACAACAUACCCCCUGGGCGCAGUGGGAGCGGAAUGGUCCGCUUCGCCGCCGGUCUCGACCCCAGGAGGACAGCUGACCGAUCGCGAGGAGAUGGCGGCUUUGGAUCAACUGGGCUGCCUCAAGUUCACGGGACCACUGUCCUGACCAAAGAAUGUCCUGAGAUUCUGUGUACCCUGUCCAUCCCUGGUGCAACGACGCCAGAGAUCCGCCUCAGCGGGCUUCUUGACAGCGGUGCGGAUGUCACAGUUCUCUCCCUUGCCGCCUGGCCCCCGGAAUGGCCCUUGGAUCUGGUGGAGAUGCCUGUCGCGGGAUUGGGAGGAACGGCGCGAUGCUAUGUGUGCCAGCGGCCCAUGCUGCUCACAAACCCGGAGGGACAGAUGGCCAUGAUUUGGCCUCAUGUUACUUCAACUCCUGCUAACCUCUGGGGAAGGGAUGUUGUGUUCAUGUGUGGGGUGUGCAUCAGGAUGGAUUUUUGAUGGGGGCCACUGCAUUGAAGUGUGCAGAGUGUCCUAUGCCUCCUUUAUGGUGGCUGGUGGACAAACCUGUCUGGGAGAACGAGUGGCCCCUCCCUCAAGACAAAUUAGUCGCCCUUCAAAACCUGAUGCAGAAGUAUAGGAGAGAAAUUGUUGUGCUGUUCUUGUGAGCCAGCAAAGGCUUCCUGAAGAUAAGGAAAGCCUUGUAUCUCUCUUGAGGAAGACACUAAGGCUAUCACCAUGACAACGUGAUGAAAGAGAGAAAGUUAAAAGAUACGGACUUUAGUUGGCUCACAGAAUGACGUGGCUCCUUGUUCACAUGUUGAGAACUUUGUUUCUUUCUUAUGACCAAUGGGCAGUGUAUGUGUCUGUUAAGUAAAUGUAAAUAUCUUGAAAAACUAUAAAGGCAACAUGUUGCUAUAAUAAAGCUCUCUUAUACAGCC